GCACCAAAUUUUGCUUUAACAAAAGAACUAAAUGAAAAUACGAACAAAAGCACCAAAUUUUGGUUGAAAGUCUGGCAGGACUGGGCUUUGGCGAGAGAAUAUAUGAUGUUGACAUUGAGAAGUAUCCAAUUUUGUCAUGCUAAUAAUAUGUUGCUCGUACAAUUAGGGAUUAAUAGUACGAGUGAUGUUUUGAAAUUUGUCAAAUUGGACUCGCCCCGGCGGCUCGUCC